rnacentral:rRNA from 1 species
AUCUUCCACAAUGGACGAAAGUCUGAUGGAGCGACGCCGCGUGCGGGAUGAAGGCCUUCGGGUUGUAAACCGCUGUCGAGGGGAAUCAAAUUUUGAGUGAUCCCUGGAGGAAGCACCGGCUAAACUCGUGCCAGCAGCCGCGGUAAUACGAGUGGUGCAAACGUUGUUCGGAAUUACUGGGCUUAAAGGGUGCGUAGGCGGCCAUGUAGGUCUGAUGUGAAAUACCACGGCUCAACCGUGGAACUGCGUUGGAUACCGCAUGGCUGGAGUGAGACAGAGGUAAGCGGAACUGAUGGUGGAGCGGUGAAAUGCGUUGAUAUCAUCAGGAACACCGGUGGCGAAAGCGGCUUACUGGGUCUUUACUGACGCUGAUGCACGAAAGCUAGGGGAGCAAACGGGAUUAGAUACCCCGGUAGUCCUAGCUGUAAACGAUGAGUACUAGUCCGUGGGGACCCCCACAUCCUCUCGGACGUAGCGAAAGUGUUAAGUACUCCGCCUGGGGAGUAUGGUCGCAAGGCUGAAACUCAAAGGAA